rnacentral:rRNA from 1 species
UACGUAGGGUGCGAAGCGUUGUCCGGAAUUAUUGGGCGUAAAGAGCUCGUAGGCGGUUUGUCGCGUUGUCCGUGAAAUUCCCUGGCUUAACUGGGGGCGUGCGGGCGAUACGGGCAGACUGGAGUACUGCAGGGGAGACUGGAAUUCCUGGUGUAGCGGUGGAAUGCGCAGAUAUCAGGAGGAACACCGGUGGCGAAGGCGGGUCUCUGGGCAGUAACUGACGCUGAGGAGCGAAAGCGUGGGGAGCGAACAGG